CGGUUAAGUUAGAAAGGGCGCACGGUGGAUGCCUUGGCACUAGGAGCCGAUGAAGGACGGGACGAACACCGAUAUGCUUCGGGGAGCUGUAAGCAAGCUUUGAUCCGGAGAUUUCCGAAUGGGGAAACCCACCACUCGUAAUGGAGUGGUAUCCAUAUCUGAAUACAUAGGAUAUGAGAAGGCAGACCCGGGGAACUGAAACAUCUAAGUACCCGGAGGAAGAGAAAGCAAAUGCGAUUCCCUGAGUAGCGGCGAGCGAAACGGGACCAGCCCAAACCAAGAGGCUUGCCUCUUGGGGUUGUAGGACACUCUGUACGGAGUUACAAAGGAACGAGGUAGAUGAAGAGGUCUGGAAAGGCCCGCCAUAGAAGGUAACAGCCCUGUAGUCAAAACUUCGUUCUCUCCUGAGUGGAUCCUGAGUACGGCGGAACACGUGAAAUUCCGUCGGAAUCCGGGAGGACCAUCUCCCAAGGCUAAAUACUCCCUAGUGACCGAUAGUGAACCAGUACCGUGAGGGAAAGGUGAAAAGCACCCCGGAAGGGGAGUGAAAGAGAUCCUGAAACCGUGUGCCUACAAGUAGUCAGAGCCCGUUAACGGGUGAUGGCGUGCCUUUUGUAGAAUGAACCGGCGAGUUACGAUCCCGUGCAAGGUUAAGCAGAAGAUGCGGAGCCGCAGCGAAAGCGAGUCUGAAUAGGGCGAAUUGAGUACGUGGUCGUAGACCCGAAACCAGGUGAUCUACCCAUGUCCAGGGUGAAGUUCAGGUAACACUGAAUGGAGGCCCGAACCCACGCACGUUGAAAAGUGCGGGGAUGAGGUGUGGGUAGGGGUGAAAUGCCAAUCGAACCUGGAGAUAGCUGGUUCUCUCCGAAAUAGCUUUAGGGCUAGCCUCAAGGUAAGAGUCUCGGAGGUAGAGCACUGAUUGGACUAGGGGCCCCUACCGGGUUACCGAAUUCAGUCAAACUCCGAAUGCCGAUGACUUAUCCUUGGGAGUCAGACUGCGAGUGAUAAGAUCCGUAGUCGAAAGGGAAACAGCCCAGACCGCCAGCUAAGGUCCCAAAGUAUACGUUAAGUGGAAAAGGAUGUGGAGUUGCUUAGACAACCAGGAUGUUGGCUUAGAAGCAGCCACCAUUUAAAGAGUGCGUAAUAGCUCACUGGUCGAGUGACUCUGCGCCGAAAAUGUACCGGGGCUAAACGUAUCACCGAAGCUGCGGACUGUUCUUCGAACAGUGGUAGGAGAGCGUUCUAAGGGCUGUGAAGCAAGACCGGAAGGACUUGUGGAGCGCUUAGAAGUGAGAAUGCCGGUAUGAGUAGCGAAAGAGGGGUGAGAAUCCCCUCCACCGAAUGCCUAAGGUUUCCUGAGGAAGGCUCGUCCGCUCAGGGUUAGUCGGGACCUAAGCCGAGGCCGAAAGGCGUAGGCGAUGGAUAACAGGUUGAUAUUCCUGUACCACCUCCUCACCAUUUGAGCAAUGGGGGGACGCAGGAGGAUAGGGUAAGCGCGGUAUUGGAUAUCCGCGUCCAAGCAGUUAGGCUGGGAAAUAGGCAAAUCCGUUUCCCGUGAAGGCUGAGCUGUGAUGGCGAGCGAAUUAUAGUAGCGAAGUUCCUGAUUCCACACUGCCAAGAAAAGCCUCUAGCGAGGUGAGAGGUGCCCGUACCGCAAACCGACACAGGUAGGCGAGGAGAGAAUCCUAAGGUGAUCGAGAGAACUCUCGUUAAGGAACUCGGCAAAAUGACCCCGUAACUUCGGGAGAAGGGGUGCUCUGUUAGGGUGCAAGCCCGAGAGAGCCGCAGUGAAUAGGCCCAGGCGACUGUUUAGCAAAAACACAGGUCUCUGCGAAGCCGUAAGGCGAAGUAUAGGGGCUGACGCCUGCCCGGUGCUGGAAGGUUAAGAGGAGCGCUUAGCGUAAGCGAAGGUGCGAAUUGAAGCCCCAGUAAACGGCGGCCGUAACUAUAACGGUCCUAAGGUAGCGAAAUUCCUUGUCGGGUAAGUUCCGACCCGCACGAAAGGCGCAACGAUCUGGGCACUGUCUCAACGAGAGACUCGGUGAAAUUAUAGUACCUGUGAAGAUGCAGGUUACCCGCGACAGGACGGAAAGACCCCGUGGAGCUUUACUGCAGCCUGAUAUUGAAUGUUGGUACAGCUUGUACAGGAUAGGUAGGAGCCUUGGAAACCGGAGCGCCAGCUUCGGUGGAGGCAUCGGUGGGAUACUACCCUGGCUGUAUUGACCUUCUAACCCGCCGCCCUUAUCGGGCGGGGAGACAGUGUCAGGUGGGCAGUUUGACUGGGGCGGUCGCCUCCUAAAAGGUAACGGAGGCGCCCAAAGGUUCCCUCAGAAUGGUUGGAAAUCAUUCGCAGAGUGUAAAGGCACAAGGGAGCUUGACUGCGAGACCUACAAGUCGAGCAGGGACGAAAGUCGGGCUUAGUGAUCCGGUGGUUCCGCAUGGAAGGGCCAUCGCUCAACGGAUAAAAGCUACCCCGGGGAUAACAGGCUUAUCUCCCCCAAGAGUCCACAUCGACGGGGAGGUUUGGCACCUCGAUGUCGGCUCAUCGCAUCCUGGGCUGUAGUCGGUCCCAAGGGUUGGGCUGUUCGCCCAUUAAAGCGGUACGCGAGCUGGGUUCAGAACGUCGUGAGACAGUUCGGUCCCUAUCCGUCGCGGGCGCAGGAAAUUUGAGAGGAGCUGUCCUUAGUACGAGAGGACCGGGAUGGACGCACCGCUGGUGUACCAGUUGUUCUGCCAAGGGCAUCGCUGGGUAGCUAUGUGCGGACGGGAUAAGUGCUGAAAGCAUCUAAGCAUGAAGCCCCCCUCAAGAUGAGAUUUCCCAUUCCGCAAGGAAGUAAGAUCCCUGAAAGAUGAUCAGGUUGAUAGGUCUGAGGUGGAAGUGUGGCGACACAUGGAGCUGACAGAUACUAAUCGAUCGAGGACUUAACCAAUUU
rnacentral:rRNA from 1 species